UUCUGGGCCUGACAGAAUAAAAAUGACAUGAAACUGUCAGAGAUGUGCAAAGGAGGGCCAUGGGGAUGGAGAAGGGCCUGGAGGGGCCGCGUGAGGAGCAGCUGAGGGCACUUGGUCUAUUGAGAUGGAGGAGAGCGAGGGGAGACCUCACUGCAGUUCUGCAGCUUCCUGCUGAGGGGAAGAGGAGGGACAGGCACUGAUCUCUGCUCUGUGACCAGGGACAGGGCCCAGGGAACGGCCUGAAGCUGUGUCAGAGAGGUUUAGGUUGGAUAUCAGGAAAAGGUUCUUCCCACACAGGGUCACUGAACAGUGAGCUCCCCAAGGAGUGGAUCAAGGCUGAGAGAUCAAGGAGUGUUCAGACAAUGUUCUCGGGCACAGAGACAAAUUUUGAAAAGUACAGACAGUGCUGCAAUAGAACAGAGAAAUAUGAAAACAGAACCUGCAGCUGUUCUCUGCAAGUUGAACAUGGGGAUCAAUGUGUUCAGGGAGAACCUUUUAAGUCUGGGCUCACCUCUCCUCACCAGUACUAACAACUGAACAAGCUUUAAUAACUAUAGAAUCUUUUCAAUGUCUUCCAAAGGAUAUUAACUUCUUCCUUGACAUCAUGAAGACAAGCACCCUGUCAGAGGUCUAAAGAAAAUUCAUUUACACAUUUCUUAAAAUCUCAAACCUUCAAAUAGAGACUUGAUUUCAUGCAA